rnacentral:rRNA from 1 species
GAUGAACGCUAGCGGCAGGCCUAACACAUGCAAGUCGAGGGGUAGAACACUUCGGUGUUUGAGACCGGCGCACGGGUGCGUAACGCGUAUGCAAUCUACCUUGUACAGAGGGAUAGCCCAGAGAAAUUUGGAUUAAUACCUCAUAGUGUUGUCGAAUGGCAUCGUUUGAUAACUAAAGUUCCAACGGUACAAGAUGAGCAUGCGUCCCAUUAGUUAGUUGGUAAGGUAACGGCUUACCAAGACAAUGAUGGGUAGGGGUCCUGAGAGGGAGAUCCCCCACACUGGUACUGAGACACGGACCAGACUCCUACGGGAGGCAGCAGUGAGGAAUAUUGGACAAUGGGCGCAAGCCUGAUCCAGCCAUGCCGCGUGCAGGAUGACUGCCCUAUGGGUUGUAAACUGCUUUUAUACAGGAAGAAACACUGCUACGAGUAGCAGCUUGACGGUACUGUAGGAAUAAGGAUCGGCUAACUCCGUGCCAGCAGCC